GGGGGCGGUCAGGUGUGUCCCCCCCCCCCAAGGUGACAUCGAUGUCCCCCCCUCCACCCAUAGAGGCUCAUUGGGGUGGUGGUGGGGGGGUCAGCUGUGUCGUCCCCCCCCAUAGAGGCUCAUGGAGGGGGGGGGUCAGGUGUGUCCCCCCCCCCAAUCCAUAGAGGCUCAUUGGGGGGGGGGUCAGGUGUGUGUCCCCCCCCCUCAAGGUCACAUCGGUGCCCCCCCCACCCAUAGAGGCUCAUGGAGGGGGGUCAGGUGUGUUUCCCCCCCCCCGCUAGGUGACAUCGAUGUCCCCCCCCACCCAUAGAGGCUCAUGGGGGGGGGCUUAGGUGUGUCCCCCCCCCCCAAGGUGACAUUGGUGUCACCCCCCCACCCAUAGAGGCUCAUUGGGGUGGGGGGGGAGGGUGAUAUGUGUUCCCCCCACCCAUAGAGGCUCAUUGGGGGGGGGGUUAGGUGUGUGUCCCCCCCUCCCAAGGUGACAUCGAUGUCCCCCCCCACCCAUAGAGGCUCGUGGGGGGGGGGUCAGGUGUGCCCCCCCCCAAGGUGACAUCGGUGCCCCCCCUCCACCCAUAGAGGCUCAUUGUGGGGGGGGGGGGGAGGGUUCAGUUGUGUUCCCCCCCACCCAUAGAGGCUCAUUGGGGGGGGGUCAGGUAUGUGUGUCCCCCCCCUUAAGGUGACAUCGCUGUGUCCCCCCCUCCCCAUAGAGGCUCAUGGGGGAGGGGGGGGGGGUCAGCUGUGUCCCCCCCCCCCCCCCCCAAGGUGACAUCAGUGCCCCCCCCCCAACCCAUAGAGGCUCAUGGGGGUGGGGGGGGGGGGUCCAUCGGAACGGAGCUGAUGAGGAACACUUUGACGUAAUGCACCGCCUGUAAGGGGGGGGGGGG
rnacentral:lncRNA from 1 species